rnacentral:lncRNA from 1 species
GGCAGCUGACUGGGGGAGAUCGCUAGCCUAAUCAUCGAACUCGUCGAAGUCCUGGAACUCCUGGAGAUCCGCCUCGACGCCUUCUUCUUUACCUGAGCAUAGGUUGCACCAAAGGCAACCUGGUGUUUUGUGAAAGCAAGGGUGAGUACACAUCAACGUACUCAGCAAAUGUCCCAUUUGGCUGUAGUGGACUAGCUUUAUGUGGGGUUAAGCUCAAGCAGUUGCUUUAAGUUGGUCAGAUAUUUAUUAUUAGUGGAAGCCAAGUUUUAGUAAUAGCCAACCCGUGAACCAUUUCCUCCUCGAGGAACAUCAUUAUCAUCAUCGAGCCAAAACCAUAAAUAGAACCAUUGUAUAUUGAACCAUCUGUAUCUCUAAUCAAAGAGGAUCCCAAGGCCGCUCUUAACCGUGAGCACGGCUGAUAUAUCAGUUUCACUACCCUCUGCAGAGGUCGCACACUUUACCCAUGAGUCGUGAUUCCCGUUUUGCCCGGGGAUCAUGACUCCCCAUUGAUCACUUCCUAGGUGGUCCGGCAGGGUAUCACUACGUAGCUUUUACAAAGAUUCCCUAAAGGUCAUAGCCGCCCGUUAGGUUUCUCCAGUUUGAUAAACACAGUACUCCUCCCCACAGGAGGGUGACUAACAAAAGCAAAACGAAAGGACCUCGGCACCAAGCCUCGGCAGAGCAAGCACUGUGCCUGGACCCCAUUAACGGCACGACGGCGAAGCGACUACACCUCUAGUUCCUCUAAUUAAUUAGCUAAGGGCAUCCCAUUUCACCCUCAUGGUUGCACUGUUAUCCCGGGUGGUCUCUCAACGAACAGGUCCUUACGGAGAGGUACUCGGGAAACAGCCCGAGUCCCCUAAAUGCCACAAGUAUAUCAUCAUAUCCAGAAUAAAAUCAUAGUAUCAUCAUUGUAUCUCAUCAUGUUCAUUGAUUAAAGUAAAGCGCUAGCAUGUAGCUAACCAUAGUAACCCAAAAGGUAAAUCAAGGACAAGGUAAAUAGAAAGCUAGUAAAUCCUUAGGUUGUUCAUAGUAUGCGGGACAGUGUAUUAUAAAGUAAAUGGGACAUAAUGGGUCAGAGGACACUUGCCUUCACCAAAACAGAUGCUCAGGGUCUUCAACUUUGUGGAACUCGAAGAGUUUGAUCUCUUGGUCACCAAAGCUUGACCGUCGAUUCCUCGAAGCUCGAAAACGGA